AGAGAGAGACAUGCGCGCAUAUCAAUAAGCGGAGGAAAAGAAACUAACAAGGAUUCCCUUAGUAACGGCGAGUGAAGCGGGAAGAGCUCAAAUUUGAAAUCUUCAAGGUUUUACCUUGACGAAUUGUAGUUUAAAGAAGUGUUUUCUGCUGAAGUUUUGGUAAAAGUUCUUUGGAAUAGGACAUCAUAGAGGGUGAGAAUCCCGUAUUUGACCAUUAUUUUCAGCUUUGUGAUACACUUUCAAAGAGUCGGAUUGUUUGGGAAUGCAGUCCAAAAUGGGUGGUAAAUUUCAUCUAAAGCUAAAUAUUGGCGAGAGACCGAUAGCGAACAAGUACCGUGAGGGAAAGAUGAAAAGAACUUUGAAAAGAGAGUUAAACAGUACGUGAAAUUGUCAAAAGGGAAGCGUUUGACACCAGUGUUGUUUUCUCGAAAAUCAAUUAAAAAUGGCUCGAUUUUGUAUUGCUUGAGACCUUAAAAGCUCACUGUACAUUUUUCGUGUCUUUUUUAAUGCACUUUUCGUUUAACAAGUCAACAUCAGUUUCUUUUGUUGUAAAGGGUCAUUGGAAGGUGGCUUUCCUUUCGGAGAAAGUGUUUAUAGCCUUUGGCCUCUGCAAUCGGAGAGACUGAGGUCUGCAGCGUAGACUCUUCGGGGUUAGAUACAUUUGUGCUAAGUUAUAGCUUUUUAUAGACAACUUGUUGACUAUAAUUAGUCUUGUAGCUUACUCGCUUAUGCUAUUUUACCUACGCUUAGGAUGUUGAGUCGUAGAGCACGCAG
rnacentral:rRNA from 1 species